GAUGAACGCUGGCGGCGUGCCUAACACAUGCAAGUCGAGCGGCAGCGCGGGGUGCUUGCACCCUGUCGGCGAGCGGCGGACGGCUGAGUAACGCGUGGGAACGUGCCCCAAAGUGAGGAAUAACUGCCCGAAAGGGUAGCUAAUACCGCAUAUUAUCUUCGGAUCAAAGGAUUUAUCCGCUUUGGGAGCGGCUCGCGUCGGAUUAGGUAGUUGGUGAGGUAAUGGCUCACCAAGCCGACGAUCCGUAGCUGGUCUGAGAGGAUGACCAGCCAGACUGGAACUGAGACACGGUCCAGACUCCUACGGGAGGCAGCAGUGAGGAAUCUUACACAAUGGGCGAAAGCCUGAUGGAGCAACGCCGCGUGCAGGACGAAGGCCUUCGGGUUGUAAACUGCUUUUAUAAGUGAGGAAUAUGACGGUAACUGAUGAAUAAGGAACGGCUAACUACGUG
rnacentral:rRNA from 1 species